CCUACGGGUGGCAGCAGUGAGGAAUAUUGGUCAAUGGGCUUAAGCCUGAACCAGCCAAGUCGCGUGAGGGAAGACUGCCCUAUGGGUUGUAAACCUCUUUGGUCAGGGAGAAAUUGGCGCUGCGUGUAGCGUUAUCGGGAGUACCUGAAGAAAAAGCAUCGGCUACCUCCGUGCCAGCAGCCGAGGUAAUACGGGGGAUGCGAGCGUGAUCAGGGUUUAUGGGGUUUAAAGGGAGCGUAGGCGGAAUGCCAAGUCAGCGGUAAAAGCGCGGGGCUCAACCUCGUUCUGCCGUUGAAACUGGCGGUAUUGAGUGCGCGAGAAGUAUGCGGAAUGCGUGGUGGAGCGGUGAAAUGCAUAGAUAUUACGCAGAACUCCGAUUGCGAAGGCAGCAUACCGGAGCCCAACUGACGCUGAAGCACGAAAGCGUGGGUAUCGAACAGGAUUAGAUACCCGUGUAGUC
rnacentral:rRNA from 1 species